rnacentral:rRNA from 1 species
AUACGGAAGAUGCGAGCGUUAUCCGGAUUUAUUGGGUUUAAAGGGAGCGUAGGCGGAAGGUUAAGUCAGGGGUGAAAUGCCGUCGCUCAACGACGGAGCUGCCCUUGAUACUGGCGUGCUGGAGUACGGAUGCCGUUGGAGGAAUGAGUGGUGUAGCGGUGAAAUGCUUAGAUAUCACUCAGAACACCGAUUGCGAAGGCAUCUGACGAAUCCGUCACUGACGCUGAGGCACGAAAGCGUGGGGAUAGAACAGGAUUAGAUACCCUGGUAUUCCACGCCGUAAACGAUGAUGACUAACCGUCGGCGAUAGACAGCCGGUGGCCAAGCGAAAGCGAUAAGUCAUCCACCAGGGGAGUACGUCGGCAACGAUGAAACUCAAAGGAAUUGACGGGG